CCACAAUGGGGGAAACCCUGAUGGAGCGACGCCGCGUGCGGGAUGAAGGCCCUAUGGGUUGUAAACCGCUGUUCAGUGGAAAGAACAUCCUCCGGCUGAAUAGGUCGGAGGCCUGACGUUACCACUGCAGAAAGUCCCGGCCAACUCCGUGCCAGCAGCCGCGGUAAUACGGGGGGACGAGCGUUGUCCGGAAUCGUUGGGCGUAAAGGGCGCGUAGGCGGCGAGGAAAGUCGAAUGUGAAAUCUUGCGGCUCAACUGCAAAACUGCGUUCGAAACUUCCUCGCUUGAGUAUGAGAGAGGUGUGCGGAAUUCCUGGUGUAGCGGUGGAAUGCGUAGAUAUCAGGAGGAACACCGGUGCGAAGGCGGC
rnacentral:rRNA from 1 species